rnacentral:lncRNA from 1 species
UCUAAAACAAAGACACGGAAAAAAUAAAUUAACAGUAAGAAUGCUAAAAAAAUAUAUAAAGAAAACUCGAGAGUAAGUAACCUUUAGUUGAAAGUACACAUCCUCUUUUAUCCUUAACAAAAGAUCUGAAAACUGAGACCGAACUCAGACACAGAAGUCACUCGAUGUCUCGAUUAAAUAAUAAAACAUGUAACAAAAUAAAACACAAAAAAGAAUACUAUUAUAAGAACAAAUUAAGAUAUUGACUCCCACCGUUGCAAUAAACUAAGAACCUCGGUGGGAGCACAAGCAAGCAAACGAGAGAGCAUCAAUUGAAACUAAUAGAAACCAAAGAUAAAAUCUUCCAGUAACACAAAGUAAUGAAACCUUAGAAAUCCAAAAAGGCUAGAGGCAGAAAACCAAUAUAUAUGGGCCUAAUCCUAGAGUAAUGAACCCCGUCCCCUAAACCUAUAAAUGAGAACUAUAACUAAACGACCAUGCACAUCUAACAACAAUGAAGAGUGCAAAAUCGUGAAGACGAAAUUUACAACACAAAUAAAAAGCAACACAAAAAUAAAUGCACCUUGAAAUUUGGAGAGGCGGAAUAGCUUUUGAUUACAUAAGAAGGAAAAUGUCUCGCAUAAAUGAUGAGCACAAGAGAAAAAUAGCCUAAUGGUAGACAUGCUCAUGAUAUAAUUGAAUUUUGUUAUUAUAGAGAAUUACUUGGUAAAGUUAUUGUUCAAAUAUUUAAAUUUUAUCUAAACUAACAAACUAAAUAAUUUGUUAAAACGGCACACUGACAAAAAUACUACAUUAAAAUCAAAAUGGUCAGACGACGACUACUUCUUAGAUUCUUAUUAUUAGCUUACCUCAGAUCAAAUAGAAAGAACGCGAAACGCUAGCGCAACAGGGUCGGUUUUUAUCAACCUAUAAACAUCAUUACACGACAAAGAAAAGGAUGUCAAGUAUUUAUCAAAAAAUGCUACUUAAUAAUGUAUCAAAAAAUGCUACUUAAUAAUAUGAACCCCAACUCAAAUGCAAGGUAGUGCUCACUACUCCCGUGGAAGAAUAUGCAACUUUUGAAGAAGUGGAUGUCGCUGAACGAGCACGUGUCUAAUAAACAAUUUAAAAUUAAUAAGUCAAACCCAAUAGGUAGCUAAGUAUUCCCCAGUUAUAUUCAUAAAUUUGAGCAUUUCAUGUAAUCUCAUUGGAUUUUAGAACAAAUUAAUAAGAAGCUGUGAUUGAAUAAUCUAUAUAUAUAAGAGGUAAUAUUAUAUUAAAGAAGAUUUGUAUAUGCUCAAAACAUAAAGAAGAAACCAGAGCAAGUAACUCACCCACAUCAGAUAAUUAAGAAAACUAAACUAAACUAAACUAUCCCCAUAAUAUAUAUAUAUAAUACUACCAUACAAAAUGGGUGAUGGCUCUCAUUGUGAUUGAAAAGGUAGGAUUUUGAUUUGAGAUGUGGUUUGUUUGAAUAUUUUGCAUGAUAAUUUUGGGCUAUAUAUAUUUGUAGUUAGGUUUAUACAACCAAAUUUAUGUAGCUCAAGGCGACAAGAAGUAAAUGAUUAAUGCCCAAUUCUAAUCAUCAAGCCCAACUAUAUUUCAUGCACUAUAUCAUGAUCCAGAUCAAUUAUAUUCCAUUAUUAUCAAUUAAAAAUAGAGAGUCAAAAUCCCUCACAAUAUACUGCCCCUGUUCCUUAGCUCUCUCCAUUUUCUCAUCUCCUCCACUCACACUUUCGAUCAUCUCUCUCUGCACUUCAUGUUCGCAACAGUAAGUAAAUCCUAACCGCUAUUCUUCCCUCUUCUUCUUCCCUUUCUCUUAAUUUCUCGCGAAUAAUCUGAAAAUCAGCCGUCCGACUACACCUCACCGUCGUUCCAAAUCGUCGACCCACAAUCCUCGCCUCGACCCGUAAAUCAGCAGUCAAUUGCAGACAACAACCCAAUUAACCCAGCCCCAACUCGCUCUAACUCAGCCAAGACUCGCCGUUCCCCAUCGUCUACCAUCCUUCUCCGAUAACCAGAAGCCAAGAAAGCCACCUCCGAUCAGCACCAUCAACACCAGAAACCUAGCCGCAGCUCACUCAAACUCUAGUCAAGACAUGAUUUUCUGUAAAACAGGGAGCACCCUUUCCUCUUUGAUUUCUCUUUGAUUUCUUAAAAUCAUUCAUUAUAAUUUGAUUUCUCUUUGACUUCUUAAAAUUAUACUCGUUUCAAGCUUUCGUGAUCACUAUAUAGUUCUAGGGUUAAUCAAAAAAAGUAAUCAUAAAAGCAGGUUUACGAAGAUAAGCUCACCUUUGGUUUUGUUGCUGUAAUGGCUUUUCAAGUGGGUUGAUUUUGAUCUGACUUUGCACCGAUCAUUUGAAGAAGAUUUGAUUUCUUGGAGUAGAAUUUCAAAAGAGAGAAACCAUAGAAAGUAGAAAGGGAGAAAAAGAAAGUUGAUC